rnacentral:lncRNA from 1 species
UCAGGAUCCAUUGGAAGUAAUAGCUGCUAAGGAGAACAUAGAUGCUCCAUUGGAUAUGAUUCCGUGGAAUUUGAAGAUUAAAGAGAAAGGACAGCCUGGACAUGGUUCGAGAUUGUAUGAUGAUAGUGCUAUGGAGAAUUUGAUGAAGAGUGUUGAGGUUGUGAGUAGGUUUAGGGAGAGUUAGUUUGUUGUUGUUAAGGC